rnacentral:rRNA from 1 species
AAAAAAGAUUAUAGUUAAGCACUAAUGCACUAGAUCCCAUCAGAACUUCGAAGUUAAGCGUGUUUGGGCGAGAGUAGUACUAGGAUGGGUGACCUCCUGAGAAGUCCUUGUGUUGCACCUC